UACGUAGGGUCCGAGCGUUGUCCGGAAUUACUGGGCGUAAAGCGUGCGCAGGCGGCUUUCCAAGCGCCACGUGAAAGCCCCGGGCUCAACCCGGGAGGGUCGUGGCGAACUGGGAGGCUUGAGGCCGGUAGAGGUGGGUGGAACUCCUGGUGGAGUGGUGAAAUGCGUAGAGAUGUGGAGGAGCACCGAUGGCGAAGGCAGCCCCCUGGGCUAACACUGACGCUCAUGCACGAAAGCGUGGGGAGCAAACAGG
rnacentral:rRNA from 1 species